AUUCUGUGACAAGGGCACUUUUGUUAUUGUUCUUUAUACCUUUCCCAUGCCUCAUACAAGGACUCAUCAUCCAUUUUUUGGAAAGCAAUGAUCUCAUUCCUCAACUU
rnacentral:snoRNA from 1 species